UGAAUACUCCCUCCGUUCGGAAUUACUUGUUGCAGAAAUGGUUGUAUCUAGACGUAUUUUAGUUCUAGAUACAUCCAUUUCCGAGACAAGUAAUUCCGAACGGAGGGAGUACAAA
rnacentral:pre_miRNA from 1 species